UUCACCUUUCCUCGUUAGACAGACCUCAUCCUGAAAGUAACACCCCUCCACCCCAGAGACGCUUUUAGUUUCCUGUCUGAAAACGUGCUAUUUUGCAGUCGGCUGUGGAGGUUUGCUCAGCCCUCUCCUCUGCAGCCCCGAAAGACUCUCCAGACUAUGGAACAAGAAUCAGUCCCUGCUGCAAAACAUUACUACAGAAGAGGACCUUUAACUUCCCUGUAACCAGCCUGUAACUGGCCUGAACAGUUGAGACACGUCUUACUCAUGGGUGGAAAGGAAAACAAACAACUCAUGUCUACAUAAAUAGUAUGAUGACAUGUAUCUGACUAUUUUUACCUACACUCCUCUCCAAUGUCCACUUUUGAGGUAUUUUUCCUCCAGUGGCCCUGCAAGAGACCUCUUUUUUGGUCUUCCUUCCCUGACCAUCACCCACUAUCAGGAAAGGCUUUGCCAACAGGCCCCUUACAUCCUUAGGUAUUUCUAAACUAGGGAGACUGUAAGGACCCAUAGAGAGCUGGGUGGAGCUAGGGGAUUCACCUCGAUUAGAAGAUCUGUAAAUUCCUAGAAUAAAGACUUGGAUGAGUCACACGA